GAUGAACGCUGGCGGCGUGCUUAACACAUGCAAGUCGAGCGAAGCACUUUUGCGGAUUUCUUCGGAUUGAAGCAACUGUGACUGAGCGGCGGACGGGUGAGUAACGCGUGGGUAACCUGCCUCAUACAGGGGGAUAACAGUUGGAAACGGCUGCUAAUACCGCAUAAGCGCACAGUACCGCAUGGUACCGUGUGAAAAACUCCGGUGGUAUGAGAUGGACCCGCGUCUGAUUAGGUAGUUGGUGGGGUAACGGCCUACCAAGCCGACGAUCAGUAGCCGACCUGAGAGGGUGACCGGCCACAUUGGGACUGAGACACGGCCCAAACUCCUACGGGAGGCAGCAGUGGGGAAUAUUGCACAAUGGGGGAAACCCUGAUGCAGCGACGCCGCGUGAGCGAUGAAGUAUUUCGGUAUGUAAAGCUCUAUCAGCAGGCAAGAAAAUGACGGUACCUGACUAAGA
rnacentral:rRNA from 1 species